GGAUAAAAAAUGUCCCUCGUGAUUUUUUUAAUUAUUAUAAUUUCUUAAUUUUUUUUUAAAAAACACCCCACCCCCUCUAUGUCAUCUUCUUCACAGCACCCCACUCUAUCCCACCCCCUGCACCUUCAACCCCACCUCACCCCUGCGUCUUCAACCGUUGAGGAUUGUCCAAGUGAGUUUGGCUGAUCUUCACAAGGAUGCGGAUCAGACUUUCAGGAAGAUCCGCUUGAGAGCGAAGAUGUGCAAGGGAGGAAUGUCCUCACAAACUUCCUUGACAAUCAGUUUAUCGACUUGGUCUACCAAGCAUUGCUUAAAGGUCAUUCAUGAUCCCUUGAGAGGUGUUGUAGAUCUGACACCAUGUAUGCGUAGUUUGUAUAUAUUGUAUAUAUUUGUUUCUUUGUGCCGGAGAUUUGGACUUCUCUUUUCAUCUCAUGAGGAGACUAACUAGAUCUAUGACGAUGUAAUAUGAAACUUGGACAAUCCUCAACGGAUCCUGAUGAAAGUUUAUGAACCAUUUAAUAUCUAUAAUAGCAAACAUUGAAACAUUUCUGUAAA